rnacentral:miRNA from 1 species
AGGAAGUGAGGAAGGAGCCAGA